GGGGGAGCUCUGCCACAUAACCUCCUCUGAUCAUGUGACCGGGCGGAUGUCAAUCAUCUCGGGGCGCGCUAUGGGGUGUCCCCGGUGUUACCUGAGCUCCCCGGGAAGGGUCAGAGGGCCACGAUUCCUUGGGGACCCCUGAGAACUAAAUCCCCAGCAGGUGAACCAUCCCGGACCUGGACCACCAGGACGUCUCAUUAACCCUGAGGGGGGAUCCAGGGGCCCCUCUCCUGCAACCUAUCUUGCUGGAUCCGGAGCCUAUAUACAGGU